rfam:Schistosoma curassoni strain Dakar, Senegal genome assembly, scaffold: SCTD_scaffold0009200
GCAUUGAUGAGAAGUCCCACGAUAGGACGAAACGGCCGUCCAGUGC